GACACCGUCCCCGGCCCGUCGCGCUGGGGAUGCGGGGCUGCCUCCUGUCCCCGCCGCGCAGGUAACUGAGGACGGCGCCGGGGGCCUGAGCCGGGAAGCCCCGCGCGGAGGUGCCGCCUGGCAGGGGUAGAGUUGCCACGUGAGGCUACAUUUGUAGGGAGCUGAAAGACUUGUGUGUUGUCAUCUGUAAGUACCUAUCCCUAAUGUAACAUUUAAUUACAGUGUCUUUGAAUUAGAUAGAACCAUCUCUUUUCGUGUCUCACUGUAUAGUAUUUAUUCUUUGCAGUUUUAUACUGCAGUUUUUUUGUGAGUUUUCCACAUGAAUCCUGAAAAACCGAUCAUGAAGAGCAUAGGCAGCUUUGUCAUGGUUUUGUAACUUUGCUAUUGGUAUUCCACAUCAUAACAUCAUGGACAAAAGAGAAGAACUACGUAUCCCAGAGGACCUCACGGUCAGAGAAGGAAGAUACAUCAUGGAAGAUACGUCAUCUGGUUGCGCGCGGUCUUCUUCACUUUCGCUUGCUGCCGGGAGAGGAGUGGGUGUGCUUCCAAGCCGUGCGCCUUCAUCAAGUCCUGUGUGCAGCAUAUGCGUAUCAUCCUUUGGAGCAAGGCCAGUAGCGAUCUUCAGUGGCUUUAUGGUGGCUGGUGGCCUCAUGAUGAGCAGUUUUGCGCCUAACAUGUGCUUUCUCUAUCUUUCAUAUGGGAUUGUUGUUAGGCUUGGAUGUGGCCUAUGGUAUACUGCAACGGUUACCAUCGCUUGCCAGUAUUUUGAGAAACGCACUUAGUCUGAUUUCAACAGGCUCAAGUGUUGGACUCUUCAUAUAUGCAGCAUUGCAAAGAGAGCUUAUUAUCUGUACGGACUGGAUUGUUGCCUGCUAAUAGUUGGUGCACUAUCUCUAAAUAUGUUAGCAUGUGGUUGCCUAAUGAGACCAUUGGAGUCAUCUGGUUCCCUUCACCAGAAAAAACACGUAUAGACGAAGUCCCAGAUCAAUACUUUGUUUACCACAAAAAAGAAAAGACUGUUGAAGAAAAUAUAAGCAUCCUUGAAAAGGGCUACACUUAUGAGAAAUGCACAAACAAUGUGCCUGACUACAAACAAGAUAACAUUUUAAAUAAGAAUGUAUUAAGCUCAAUAAAUGUAAAUGAGAAAGACACUUAUAAAAAGGAAGUUGUGGAACAGACAAACUUCUGCAAGCAACUAGCCAAAAGAAAAUGGCAGCUCUAUUUGAACUUCUGGGAGGAAAGUGUGGUUCUUUUUAAGGACAGAGUAUUUUCAGCUCUCUUUUUUGCCAUCUUGCUCUUUGAUAUUGGUGGAUUUCCUCCUUCUAUGCUCAUGGAAGAUGUAGCAAGAAGUGCAAACAUCAAUGAAGAAGAUUAUCAUAUGCCCCUUGUUUCCAUUAUAGGCAUUAUGACUGCUAUUGGCAAACUUAUUUUAGGAAUGCUAGCAGAUUUUAAUUGGGUUAACACAUUAUAUCUAUAUGUACUUACCCUACUAAUGAUGGGAGCAGCCUUGCUUGCAAUUUCAUUUGCCAGAAGUUACUUUUCAUUAGCAGUGCUUUCUGGGAUUCUGGGUUUUCUUACUGGGAACUGGUCAAUUUUUCCAUAUGUAACAAAAAAGACUGUGGGAAUUGAGAAACUGAUUCAUGCUUAUGGGAUACUGAUGUUCUUUGCUGGACUUGGAAACAGCCUCAGACCACCAAUUGUAGGUUGGUUUUAUGACUGGACACAGGAGUAUGACACUGCAUUCUAUUUCAGUGGCUUUUGUGUUUUUCUGGGAGGGUUUCUUCUGCUGUUGGCAGCAUUACCCUGCUGGAAUGCCUGUACCAAUCAGAACUACCUCCUAAUACUUACUCUUAUAAAGUUGCAUCUAGUGCUCAGGUGACAACUGGAAAACACUGCUUUAAGCCUUUUAUUAUAUAUUAUAUAGCAAAGGAUUUUAGUAAUUUUUCACAUAUUUAUGAAGUCCAAAAAUCCUUAUCCACUAGAAAAAAUUCUAUUGCUGGUUUAUUUUCAGCUUUUUUUUUCUUUUCCUUUUUUAUCCAUUCCCCCCCCCUUUUUUUUUUAAGAACAGUCCUAUUUUGUCUACUGUGCAUGGUGUUUUCUGCCUUUGUCUACUGUAAUUUCCUCUCAGCCUGUAAUGGACAUAUUGUGCUGUAUUAUUGGCUGUACUGUUUUUUUUUGUUGUUUGUUUGUUUUGGCUUUUUUUGUAAGGGAUAGGGAGUGUGGAGCGUUGAAGACAUUGAAGCAAAAAUGAAGGCCUAUUUCUUAUUGGAGAAGACUGACAUUUCUGUCACCUUCUAUGGGUCUCCAAGUUGCACAAUCAGACUUUAUGAAACAAAAAUUUGCCAUAUGGGAAUAUAAUGCUAUGGCAAGGUGCUUGUAACCUCAUGUUUAGAUUAACUUUCUGACUUAUUAAAGUUUCUCCAACUUACAAUCAAGUGCCAAUGAGGGAGGAAGAACAAAGUCAUCCUUCUGUUGCAUUAAUGAACUUUAUGAUGAAAGUAAAGAUUCUUACUACCACUGCAACUGAGGGCUAUGUUUAUAAUUACUGCACUUCUGGUGAAGUUUGUUUAUAAUACUGUUGAACCAAAAUCUUUUAAACUAAGGAAUAAACAUGAUUUUUGAAACCAUGUAAAGAAAUGCUGACUUGGUUAUGCAAGUUGAAGGUCUUCAGAUAGAAGGUGGAGAUGUGUUUGCAGAAGCCCACAGUUGAGUGUUUCUAAGCAAGUUGCUGCAGUCUGGCAGUACCAGGAGCAUCUCUUGUUGCACAGCUGCAGUUUAGUUGUUUGGGCCUGCUGAAGAGAGCUUAUGAUGAAUCAGAGAGGUUUCAACAAAGUGGAUUUGACUGAAAAAGGAAAAAUGUGGAAUCAAUCUUAUUUUUGCUGCUAUUUUCUGAAUGGAUAUAUCAAGGAGAGAAGCAAAUAAAAGGGGUCAAUAAAAUAUGUGUGGGAGGGAUAGUAGAAGAGGUUCAGGGGCGAGAGUUGCAACACUGGAAUGCCAAGCAGGCCCUAAAUGAGCUCCUGGAACUGCUGCCCUGAAGCUCUCUCACUGCAGUCCAGCUCUGUAUGCCUGUGUUGCUUUUUGCUUAACCCAAGGUUGGUGUGUCUUGGAGGAUGUUGUGUGAGGUGGAAGCUUUUCCUGAGCAAGGCAGGAAGGCUCAGCUGGGCCUGCUUUGCUUUCAGUGCCCUGUGCAGUAGCAUCUGUUGCUUCUCCCACACUGCAGGCUUGUCUCAUUUUUCUUACAUCGUAGUCACAGCAAUGUCCUCUUCACCAAUGGCACGUCCUGUGUGCUUUGGAUAGGUUUAAAGGUAGGUUUGAAGUUUACCGGAACAUGUUGGGAAGCCUUAUAUGAAUUGGAUACUUUUAGUCUUUCCUGAUUUAUGUACUGCUCUCUGCAGAUGCGUAUGUACUUCUCUGCCAUAGUAUAUUCUUCAAAUGUGUGCUGUGAUUCUGGCUCACAAGUAAUCCUUAAGAUAAAAAGAAAUGCAUGUAAUGAGCAGCCUUUGUUGUCAAAUGUCUAUGAACAGAGUUGUUCAUAUGAACAACUAUUGUCUGUGAACAGAGUUACUGUUUUUUCAGAGCUAAUUAUGCAAGAGUCACAUAUCCUGUAAGUGGGGCAGAUAUAAGAGCAGGUGAAGUUCCCUUUUCUAGCCCAAGGUGGAAAAAAACAGGUUGUCUUCAGACAUCUUCUGCUAGCUUUCUGAGACUCUUAUUUCUGCUUGUGUUAAAGUCUGACAAGGCAAUUACAAAUAAAAUCAAGAGAUCAUAAGUUCUGCUUUAGGAUGGCAUGACUUAGAUACCAGAAGACAAGCACUAUGAACAAAACGCUGCAUUUUGGUGUGGACUGUCAUUUAAAUGAGCAGUGGUUAUCCAUUGGCAUGGUAUUUUCAUGUAUUCUUGGAAGAAGCUGUAGUGACGUUUUCACUUGCUAAUGAGGAUUGUGUCAUGGAAGGGCUGGCUAACAGUUGCAGUUGAAUUGAAUUUCUUUGAUUUAGAUAAAAUUUAUUUUUGUACCCUACGGUUCUCCUCUGAUCUUGAUCAUCUAGCAUGUGUGGUUUGCAAGUGACUCUUCAGCUGGGAUCAGCAGGGCUGCCUUCUCCAGCCUUUGCUUCUAACACGGAGCCACUGCAUCCCCUCCUGUUGGACCUGGUCCAGGGCAGGGCAAGCGGCAUGGCAGGGCUGCCCAUGCUACAUCCCCAUCACAGCCUCUCUGUGGGGAGAGUGCUCUGGCUGUGACAAAUCUUGCUACCAAGAAGGACUUUCUUUCCUAUCUGACUGUGUGCUAUGGCAUUCCUGAAACUGAGCUUACUAGAUCAGCAGAACAGACUAUCUGUAGUUUUGAAGGAAAAUUACUGGACCUUAAAGCCUCAAUUAAUUAUUUUUCUUGCUGCUAUUGUGCUUUUUUUUUCUGCUACUGACAGUGUAUUUACAACAGCUACCUCUGCCCCCUCCAACAGGGAUACUCCUGUUUUUAAUGUUUCCAUUAAAAAAAAGAAAAUUGUUUUUUAAGGAAGAAAAUGAAGCAUCUAUAUUUUCCUUUCAUGUUUAUUGUUACAUAUUUUUCCUCUAUUUUCAAGACAUCAGCAGGCAUCAGAAGUAGCUCUUCUGGAGCUGGAGGUCAUGUGUGAGUGAAAGAAGUACAAAAGCAAUCCCCACUGCUCCACCAGACUCCUUUCACCAACCAUGUCUUUUCUCACAAGCCUUCCCUUAUUCACUGGGGUGUUAGGAGACUGAAAGUUUUGGUAUUAAUUUAGAUGCAGCCCUUGAAAGUCAGAGUGGCUGCAAAGAGCGCUACACAUUGCACAGCAAAAAUCUUACAGGAAUUCACUUUGAUCAGGACAAUGGUUUGGACUGAAAUAUAUUUCAUUUGUCAUGUCUGUGGCCUUCAGCUCUUCAUACAACAACAACACAAUGAGAAAUCAUCCAUUUAAACUGUGUUACUUUGUAUGAAAGGGAAUUUCUGUCAAAGACUUAGGUUUCCUUGCUGUGCCUGCAGUUAGGGUUGCAGGACUACCUCUGCAGCAUGCCUCGUGUGCCCUCUAGCUGCUGCAGGCUGCCUGGAGAACUGAAAUAGCUCAGUUGUACAUAAAUGUUGCUUGAUGCAUUUGGUUUUGGACUCAGCAGACAGGUUUUGAAAACAAAUUCGUGGACAAUUGCAGUUAAUGACAAAGUAGAGAGCAAGUGACUUGUUGCAGUCACUGCUUUCUUGUUUGCACUGCUACUGCUGUUAUGAUCAGAGAGAAAAAGCUUGUGCUUGCCACUCAGGCAGGGAAUUUGUUGCUUUAAAAGGUAUGUGCUUAGAGUUUACACAUUCAGCUGAAGUAGUGGGGAAAGAUGUGUCAGCUACGAUACAUACUACAAUAUGUAGAGAGAUGAAGGGUUACAAAUGCUCUGUGUGGCACACAGCCACGGGUUAUAAGUUUUUGGCUGAGGCUUUUUUUCUCUGUGGACAGAUAGCGAAUAGCUACCAGCCUGCAGGCAGAGUUAGCUGGGGAGAUGUUGGCUCUGUCUGCCAUGUGCUUUUUUCUGUCCCAAAGAUGAUACAGUGCACCAAAAUACCAGUGUAAACUGUCACAUAUAAGCACUGGACAGCCACAUAGCUGUGACAGAGACCAGUAGUCACACCAUGGAGUAUCGUAGGAAUAAAGCAUUUUGUUGUCUUUUUUUAGUCAGUCUUUGUGUGGUUCCUUUCCUUGAAGGUAAACAACCAUGAGUUGUAUUUGUUUGUCCUGCUCUAGGACCAUCCGUUCUUGCAGCUAGUACUGUAUCUCUGCUGUUCAUCUGGACAGGGCAUCGAUGCAGUCAGUAAGGAUGUCAGCUGCAGGCUGGACAUCCUCUGCCUGGGGGUAUGGCACUACCAGCCUGGGUGCUGCCUGCACGAGCAACAGCUUUGAAGACGCUUAGCUGUGAAAUUUGUCAUUUCAUAGAGUGGCAGUGCAGGAUGUCUCCUGGCAGGCUUAGGGCCUCUUAGACAGCUGUGCUGAUGGGCUGAGGUGGAGUACAUCAGUGGUGAUGAGAUGCUCCACUGCUGUCUGGACACCAGGAGGUAGCAAUGGCGGGGUUCCCCUCUUGCUGUUCUGCGGAAGGCUGCGCUGCAGGAAGUUAUAUCAGGCUACUGUUCAGCCUACGGGCAGAGCAUGCGAGGGUUCGCUUGGGGCUGUAGUUUCAUAUGCAGCCAAGGAUCAACCAAGGGGCAAGAGGGAGCUGAAAUGUAUUGGACUGUAGUCUACACAACAGUUUCUCCUGCAGCUGUUUUCUCAGCUUUUCCCUUCACAAACACAUAGGGAGAGUCAUUCACUUUCCCAGAGCACGUUCAAGGCAUGCUUUUCUGGUGCUGGAAUAAAGCCUAGCUGUUUUGAGUGUUCUGUUGUUUGUUUACUAUGUACCUGUUUACAAAAUUCACUAAAUUUGUGUUAAGACUCUCUUCCAGUUACAUUUAAUUGCUACAUUACCUGCUUCGUUUUUGCUUAUUUCACAGGAUUGAGUUUAUAUCUGAAGGAAUUAUAAUAGAGCAUGUUGGUCUUAACAGCACUUACAUCUUCCUUAUUCCAAAGAUUGGAUGGAUCCUUGCUCAUAUGCUUACCAAAAUGUUUGUGUAGGUGUUAUAUAAAUCUAUAUAUAUAAAAUAUGCAUAUGCUGUGGGCAACAACAAAAUAUUUUACUACUGCUGGCCGGCAGAGCAAAUAGCAGGAAAUAUGAAUAUUUGUCAAUUUAUAUUCUAUAAGCUGCUAAAAACUAAAUAUCAAAUGCAUGAUGUAUGGGCUUUCAGGAAGCUGUGCUACUGCCUGUUAGGUGCCAUGGAGACAUCUCUUAAUGGUUAUACAUCCCUGAACUUUUGCAAUAUGACGCUGGAUGAAAGUGGCUACCAGGAAUUCUGCUCUGCGAGGAUUGAACUUCUACCUGGGACACACUUGGGGUGAAAUUGCUGAUGAAGAUGAUACUUAGCAAUUAUGCUGUGAUACUUUAAUUACAGAUGAACAGCCCGAUGGAUGCAGUUUGUCUGCACUGCACAGGUGUAUAAUAGGAAGAAAGGUGAUGUCAUCUUCUGAGCAGCACAGCUGAAAUACUGCUGUUCUCCUGCAGGGUAAUAUGGGAGCAAGAUCCUCCCUUUCAGUUUGUGUAAGUGAACUCAUGUCUGAUUCUGUGAGUCUCUCUCAAGUCUUCUCUUGUUUUCAGAGUAAAAUGCUCUUCUUUUCUCAACCCAGCUGCUGUAUCUGAAGAGGGAGGCAUUUAGAGUAAAAUAUCAUUGAUAUUUUUUAAAUAGAGACUUUAACACCUCAAGCUUAUACAGGAAAAAAAGAUAUAAGAUAUGAUAAUUUUUUUAUACAUUUUUGGGGAGUAAUCACUAACGCUUUAGCAUUAGCAUCAUGUUCUAACCUUGCUUAUUAUGUACUGAAAGAGCAGAAGUAGGCUUAGCUUUUUUAAGUGUUUGUGUGCAUUUGUCAAGGCAACAAAACUGAGCAGAACCAAGUCAAAAGUGCCACAAGACUGAACCUGAACGUGUGCAUUUUAUAAGCAGCUUUUUCUGUAGCAGUUGAGCUACGAGAAAGUGUUUUUCCUUUUGUAUACCUAGUUAUAACAAGAUUUAAGAAGGUUUUAGAACAUGCUGGGAAAGCAGUAUUAAAAAAAAAUCAGGUUCUUUCUUUCAAAUGGAAUGUGGAUGCUUAUUUAAAUCUUCAUGACGCAAAACUUUUGUAUUAUUAUCCAUACAAGAAGUAUGGAUAUUUUGGAAUUAGAAUUCUGCUUUCACCGUGCCGCGUAGAACUUGGAAAAAAUGAAUCCUUUCCUCUGUGAUUAAGCAUAGCCAGGAUGACAGAAAAAUGAGAAAAAAAUGCAGCAUAUAAUGUCACAUCAUAGAAUCAUAGAAUGACUUGGGUUAGAAGGGAACCACAAGAAUCAUCAGGUUCCAACCGCUCUGCCACAGGCAGGGCCGCCAUCUUCCACAUAUAGUACUAUACCUAGCUGCCAAGGGCCCUCUUCAACCCGGCCUUGAACACCUCUUAAGGCAAAAUACAGGGGAAGGAAAUGAGGACAGAAGGAGAGUAAUGGACUGGGGGCAUUGUCCCCCUUGCUAGGGCUGAUACUGGUUGAUUUCUACUUGUAUUUUUCUGGUAAAGGAAUAAUUUUGGGUUUGGUUAUACAGCCACAAAGACCAUGUGCUUUCUCCUAAUGUGUGUGUGGCUGAGACUCUGUGAGCUUACCCAUAUCAGAAGGUUCACAGGGGAAAGCUCCACCAAGGAGGGAUCUCCAGAAAGAAAUGAUUGUCUUGUGGGAGUCAGCCCUUAAAUAGGAUCUAAGAGAGUUGCAUCCAGGCUUCAUCCCUCCUGUCACACAGGUGAACUGCCUUCAACUGUGCUCCCAGCGCACACGGGGUCCUUGCUGUAGUUGAUCAGUCAGUGGUUCAGGUAGUGACUCGACACAUUCCAUGCACUUCACUAAAGUGAUACAGUUUGGUAUUUCAUUAGUCGGACCACGGGGAUAAUACAGACUUUGGAACACAAAACUAGCAUGUAGAACUUCUUGCUAAUAUCACUUUACUAGCCUAAAUUGCAUAUACUGAACAAAAAUCUCAACACAGAAAUUACAAGCACAGGUGUAAAGUUGGAAGACUAAUUAGAAGAUCACAGAGAAAGUAUUACUAUGAAUUUCAAAAGAUAAAAAAACAGAAAUAUGGAAAACUGGAUAUUAAAUGUCACUUCUUUCUUUUUAAUCUGUUGCAACCCUUUAUCUUAACUCUACUUAAUUGAUUUUUUUACUGAAAACAUCUUCAUACUGGAAUUAUUCUGUUAUGAUAUUAGUCUUGACUUUUUUCAGUGUGAUAGUACCAAAAGUUUCAAUUAAAAAGGAAGGUAUAUAUCAGAAAAAACUGUAACUAUGUAAAAUAUUCUGAGUUUAGUCUUCAGAGACCAGCUUCAAGUCUUGCUUUUUCUUGACAACUUUAUAAGUUUGGAUCUCUCUCCUGCAGACACUAAUUAGCCUCUAAAGAAAUGAACAUCCCUUCAUCAAAUCAGAAUAAAACCCAAGCACCUCUUUGGAUUCCAAACCCGGAAACAUUUGAUUCUGUGACUCUGUUAAGCAGUGUGAAACAACUUAUUCCUAUCUUGCGGUUCUCCUGUCAGACUUAUUCCUCGAUGCGCUAAACGUCAGUCAGCAAUCUUCUGUAGUUCCGGUAGAGGGCAAUAUAACUAAGCCACCUAUAAAAGGCUUAUACCCUCACCUCCACUGCCAGCCCUUAAAUGAGGUCUGGGAAAGGGUGGAUCCUAGCCCUAACCCUUCCAGUCACUCAGCUGCAUUAAAUGCACCUGAGCCCCCCUGGCUUGGCUCUGCUUUCCCACCACGUGCUCAAUCACUGUUUCAAGCCCUGACUUAGCAUUUCUGCUACAAUAUAAAAUGAAAACUCGCUUUCACAGCAUAACAAAAGGAAUUUUGAAAUGAAAUCAUUGAUAGGAAAGCAUUAUGUUACAGAAUGUCAGUUUAUGGAUCACAAGAGAUCAUGAAACAUUGGUAAAAUGUAAAUGAAAAUGUAAAAAUAGUUGGAUUCUUCACUGCAUUUGGCAUUUACAGCUCCCUAUGUAAAAAAUGGCUGCGAUACUUCCAUUAUUCAUUGUCUGUGGGUGGCUUAUACAAUAACAAGAGACUACAAUUGCAGCUACAAGUCAAACAUUCACAAUGAAAAGGCAGUCCUUGGUAGCAUGUUCUUACAGAGAGAAAAGUAGCUAAAGCUUAAUUAAUAUACGCAUAAAUAUAUACUCUAAUAUGUAUGUAUAUAUACAGUGUCCAAUAAGACACUGAGCUUAGCUAGCAGUUUUUCAAAGGUACUGUGAUACAACUAGAUAAUAGUAAUAUACAAGGGCUGCUCCACAAGUAAUGCCUCCUACUGUAUUAUGUAGGCCCACGACAUCUGAGGUAGAUGUUAGUGGUAUGACAGAAGAGUCUGAACCUUCCCACCUGUAUUUCAUUACACUUUGUUGCCAUGUGACAGCUGGCAGCAGAGGGGCAGUCUGACAAAAUGGCACCUGCUAUGGAAGUGUGUAUGAAGCAAAGGUGUGUCACUGAAUUCCUUCAUGGUUUGAAACUCAUCAUUGCAUAUAAUUUCCAUAGAUUUUCACUUUGUAGAGAAGAAUUACUUGGUAGUUUUACAUCCUGUGGCUUUUUGCAUAGAACUGUUUCUUUAUUAUGAAAAAGAGGUUUGCACUCCGUGCUAUGUACAGCUAAUAAAAGUUCUACUAAAAUUUUAAACAAAACCAUAUGUCUUGCAUUUUAAGGGCUAUGAUUGCCAGCUUUGUUUGAGUAAUUGUACAGAGGCACAUGGAAUCAAAACACUCAAUUGGGAAUGUUGUAUAUUUGGAGAAUAAACUGCAACUACAGCAGUUUAAAAGCAGCCUAUUCUGAUCCUUGCUAGAUCCUUGCUUCAGUGUGCUCCCCCCCACCUCCCCCCAGCUGCUUUGAAAAGGCCUGAUAAACCAGAUCUCUCUUGACAGCACAGAAACUAACAUCAUACCUUCUCUCGGCCAACCAAAACAUUUCUUUUGGUCCCUAUCUUGAUACUCACUUGUUGCAGAGGGUAGCUCAGGCUCACCCUGAGCUCACUUGUUCACUUUCUUCUCAGGACUACUGCCAUAUCCUCAGAGAUUUAAAUAAACUCUUAGUUCUACAUUUCUGAUUUUAAAGCAUCAGCUGAGGUUGUGCUGGGAGAAGGACACCUUAAGAAGAAACUAAACAGAAACUCCACACAUUUUGUAGCUCAUCUCUUUUUAAAGAGUACAGAAAAUAGUUAAGGAAUAAAGAACAUCUCAUUGUUUUGCCCAAAUGCCCUUUCAAAUAACCAAUAUCAGAAAUAUUUUCUAUAGUUUUCAAAUCCCUCCAAAAAUAAUGAAGCAUUGUUUCCCUCUCUAAAAACAACAUUUCUAAUGAGCAGUUUGUGCUUUGAAUUUCCCUUCUGCAUCAACUGAAUGCCAGAAUGAAAGAAUGCACUGGACAGAAAGAAUACACCUAGAAUAUUCUCCCACUACCUGCCCUGUCACAGAGACAGCUGUCAAACCACCUUCCUUGAAGUACUCACAGAGUACUCACAGAGUACUCACACAGACAGAAAGUCAUUCAUUUUUUUGACCUUCAUUUGAAAAGAGAAUGGGGAAAUCGGAGAGGUUCCUCCAUAGACAACUCAUCUCCCAGGAUUCCCCUAAAUGUAUGCAUUUCCCUCUCCAUCACCAGUGCUGAGCUGGCAACAGGAGACCAUUCCAAAUACCUGAGACAUGGUAACUUUACACGAAACACCUGGAGACAAUGUCAUAUUAUAACCUGAAGGAACAGCAUUACACAAAAUGUACUACAGAUGAGUGCAAGGCAAAGAAUAUUCAUAGAACAGUGUCAACCUUUUAAAUAUGUUAACCUAGAUGAAGCAAUUGCCUAUGGCAUGUGGAACAAAAUGAUAUUUUCAUAAAAAUCAGUGAGUGCUACCCACUGAGUACGAACAGGAUUUCACGUAACAGUCAAAUUCUAAUGUGCAAAGAUCCGCUUUGGUUGUAAGUAGUGAAUAAGACAUGGCAAAUAGUACUGACACCUUCUGUGCAGUAUUUCUUUCAUGGGAUGUUUCAAUACUAGCAGUAAUACUGGCUCAAAGAUUGAUUUCUAUCCUCUUAUUCUCACUAGAAGCAUUAGGGUCAGCCCACAAACUGGUGAAUGGACAGGGUCAGACUGACCGUUGGGAAUGGGCAUAAAAGAAAUUUUAACAACCUACUGCUUUAAACUUGCAUACUGAAUACUGCUUUUAGAUACUGAGCAUCUGAAGACUUAAGACUGAAGAAUUAAGCUUAAAUAUACCUGUUUCAGCUUCUAAGCUUUUCGGAUAUUGGUAGGAUUUUGGUAUGAAAUGAAUAUUAUUUGUUGGCUCCUGUCAUACUUGAGAAGCCAGAUAAUUACCACGUCUCCAAGUUGCCUGCAUGAGCUAUUUUCCAGGCAGCAGCUACACUUUGUUUACAGAAAACUUGCAGAGGCUUCAUAGGUGUUCAAAAUAAAGACCCUGUCUGUCAGCUGACAGGUGUCUGUGUACAGAGGGCUUGAGAGUGUCACAUACAGUUGUGAGCAGUGUUAUUAAAAAGAAAAGCCUCAUGAUGAGACUGGGGUGUGCUGAUAACAGGUUGUUUUUUACUGUACUGUAGAAUAUAUCUCAAAAGCUUUUUUUCAAAAGCCAUCAUUUCUUAUGAUUUUUGAGGCUGUAAACUGUUUAGGCUGCUUCUAUAAUUGAUGGUAUACACAGCUGCAUGUUUAAGAUGUCUUUGGGGCCACAUUAGCUUGUGCAGCUCUGGUUAGGGAAUGCAGCACUUUGUUACAUAGAGCUGCUUACAUUGUACAUCUCCUGCCCUCCCUUCAUGUUUUGCUCUUAUACACCACCCAGAGGUGGAUCAAAAGUAGGGGUGCUUCUCCUUUACAGCCCUGUGCCGUCCCUCUUUUUUUGUCACACCAUCUCUAACGCAAACUCCAAAGAGAUUUCUGUUGGAAGUCUUGUGUUUCUGGAUGCGAGGAAGAUCAAUGGCGCGAGCUGCUGGCCGAAGUCAGGAACUGCGUUUGAACAAGGCUGCUUAGCAGACAGUGGAAAGAGAAUGUUAUAGUUUACUUUAGGCUUUGAUUUCUCUUUCUUCCCCUUUUCUUAUCAUAAGAAAAGAAAGAGUGGACGAAAAGAGGAUUUUAGAUAAGCAAGAGAACUGGUCAAAUACAUAUCUCAGGCAAAUACCCCCAUUGAAAUAAGGAGAUGCACAGGGAAUGGGGAGAACCAGGUAGGGACAAGCCAUUCAGCAGGCCUGCUCUUGAGUUCUGUACUACUUUUUUGUUUGGUACCCUAACUACAUCUGUCAUCUAGCACUCUGAGCAAGAUGGAAGGUAACAUUGCUAAAAUGUGUGUCAAAUGUGUUCUGUGUAAGCCUAAAAUACCAACAUUCUUGAAAUAGAGAUGCAGCGAUUACUUUUAAUGUGAUUUCCAUCUUAUAAGCCCCCCUGUUGUGACCCCAAAAUUAAUCACCAGUAGAAUUUCUAUUUUCUGUCUUAUUCCUGCUUACCUCAGUGACCACUUAGGAAAACAAAAUGUGUCACCUUAUGUUGGUCAAUUUGUAUGUCCUUGUAUGGCAUACAACGGAAGUGAACACGGGCUCUAUUAAUAUCUGUUCCUAUAUAAACAGAAUCCAUUUUCUUCAGUUCUCUAGCUAAUGAUGCACUGUGGGAACAAGACAGUCAGAAGCUUGGGGAUUACCCUACAAGGAAGAAUUCCAGUGUUUCUUGGCAAAACUUGCUUUAUGCUCAAGACUGGCUUGCUAAGAGCCAACAGUAACAAGGUCUUAUUUUGGACUGAUGUUUAAAUAAACAGACAGUGAAUAUUUCUGCCUGUCUUUGAAAGAUGAUACACAGAAAUCUCAACGUUUAUUUCAGAAAAGUCUUUUUUUUUUUCUCUCUCUCUUAGUUACAGCAAGAUACUCAAUUUGGAGGCAGUAAGGUGUUAGUCUCGUGAAAUAAGGGAGAAUUUGGAGUCCCAAGUGGAAACUUAUGAAGAAGUCUUCCUUUUCCUUAUUUACUUCUAAAUACUGACAGGAUGGGAAUACUUUUUCUUCUGAAUCCUUUGCCAGUUUCCUUACAAGAAAGAGACAAAACGGGGAAGUAUAAG